ensembl:lncRNA
GACCCAGGAUAUACCUGGAACCCAGUGACCUUGACCUACCUUCAAAUGCAGAUUUGGGAAGCUUCAUUGAUCUUGGAGUUUCCCCAGGAAGGUGUCACAGAGUGUGGAGGCCACAAGAUAAAGUCUAGGGCCUCCACUUUAUUCCAUCUAGUGGACCUCCUACUUCAUCAAGUACAUCUGAGUAUAUCUGACCCAUCAUUGUCAAUCCAUCAUUGUCAAUUGAUUUCUAUCUUGAACCACAUGUAAUUGAAGAAUAUGUCUGGGCAUCCAUUCCCUUGCCCCUGAACACGUGAUGGUUAAGGAAAGUUCCCUAACAUUGUAAAACAGCUGGGAGAUUGGUGAGCCCAGCGCCAUGAUAGACCACUAGAGGGGGGUGUGACUCUCUAAGUGAGCUUGACAUUGACAUGGCUUUGCCCAAAGACAGUCUAAUCUGUGUUUCAAAAGCAAGAGUUCCAGUAUUCUAGCUUGCCUAAAGGUAAUAGUACAAGUACUUGAGUUAUUUUCAUAUUUCAGAAAUGUUCAUGGAAAUGUUUCUUUUACUAGCAAUUAUUUAUUUCCAUAGAGGCUACUCUUAUGCUUUCCAAAUAGAUAUAUGUAUUAUUUUUGUCUGAUAUGUUCUAAAAAUAGAGAAAAAGCAAAAAAUGCCUAAUUUUAUUUCCUAGAGAUAACUAUUGCUUUCAUUUCUAUAUCUGUAUCCAUCUUUCCACACUUAAUUUAUCUCCAUAUAUGACAUGAAUGGGAUCACCUUAACCUAUAAAUGAAUCUGCUUUUCUACCUUAAUAAUGGAAUUUUCCUAUACAUUUAAAUCUGCCUCAUCCUUUGUUUUUGUUUUGUUUCGUUUUUUUGAGACAGGGUCUCACUCUGUUGCCCAGGCUGGAGUGCAGGGGCGCGAUCUCAGCUCACUGCAACCUCUGCCUCCCGGGUUCAAGCAAUUUUCCUGCCUCAGCCUGCCAAGUAGCUGAGAUACAGGCACUCGUCAGCAUGCUGGGCUUAUUUUUGUAUUUUUAGUAGAGACGGGGUUUCGCCAUGUUGGUCAGGCUGGUCUCAAACUCCUGACUUUGUGUUCCACCAGUCUCUGAUUCCCAAAGUGCUGGGAUGACAGGCGUGAGCCACUGCACUCGGCCAUCUUUUUUGUUUUUUAGGCUACAUAAGUACUCCAGUGUAUCAGAACACAUUUAAGGAAAGUCCUAUUGAUAGACAUUUAGAUUUUAAAAAAAUUUUUUGGCCGGGCGCGGUGGCUCACACCUAUGAUUCCAGCACUUUGGGAGGCCGAAGUGGGCAAUUCACGAGGUCAAGAGAUCGAGACCAUCCUGGCCAACAUAGUGAAAACCCGUCUCUACUAAAAAUACAAAAAUUAGCUGGGCUUGGUGGUGCUCAACUGUAGUCCCAGCUACUAGCAAAGCUGAGGCAGGAGAAUUGCUUGAACCCGGGAGGUGGAGGUUACAGUGAGCCGAGAUCGCGCCACUGCACUCCAGCCUGGCGACAGAUUGAAACUUCACCUCAAAAAAUAAAUAAAUAAAAAUAAAAAUAAGACAUUUUUUAGCUAUUACCGACAGUGCUGUAAUGAGUAUCUUUAUGUGGUUGUUUGAUUAAUGCUUUGGCAUAGUCAAAUUAAUGCCUUGGCAUACAUUCCUGGGGGUGUAUCACAAAGGAUGAUCACAUUUAACAUUUCCAUGCAGGUAACUGACAUUAAUUGCACAUAUUCUGUGAGCUAGACAAAAUACAUAUUAGAUGACAGAAAUCACUUCAAGUAUUAUUUCUAUUUACACAAAAGGGAAUACCUGAAAGGCUGCAAAAUAAUUUGCCCAAGGUCAUAAUGGUGGAGCUGGGAUUUUAAUGUGUGUAUUUUCUUUUUGUUUUUUUUUUUUUUUUUUUUGAAACAGAGUUUCACACCUGUCUCCCCGGCUGGAAUGCAGUGGCAUGAUCUCAGCUGAUUGCAGCCUCUGCCUCCUGGGUUCAAUCAAGUGAUUCUCCUGACUCAGCCACCCAAAUAGCUAAGACUACAGGCAUGCACCACCAUGCCCGGCUAAUUUUUGUAUUUUUUUGUAGAGAAGGGAUUUUGCCAUGUUGGCCAGGCUGGUCUUGAACUUCUGGCCUCAAGUGAUCCACCCACCUCGGCCUGCCAAAAUACUGGGACUACAGGUAUGAGCAACCUUGCACAGCCUAUUUUUGUUUGUUUUUUGAGACAGGGUCUUCCUCUGUCGCUCAGGCUGGAGUGCAGUGGCACAAUCACAGCUCGCUGCAGCCUCAACCAUCAGGCUCAACUGAUUCUCCCUCCUCAGCUUCCCAAGCAGCUGGGACUACAGGCAAGUGCCACUGUGUCCAGCUAAUUUGUUUUAUUUUUUGUAGAGAUGGGAAUUUGCUAUGUUGCCCAGCCUUGUCUAGAACUCCUGGGCUCAAGUGAUCUUCCCACCUCAGCCUCUCAAAUUGCUGGCACUACAGGUGUGAGCCAUGGCACCCAGCUUUCAUGUAACCCAGAAUGAAGUAGGACUCUUUCAACUUUCCCCCAAACUGAGAAUUGUUACUUCUAUUUCCUAAAUAAUGUAUUAUUUAUCUAUUCAUCUGAAAUGUAAAUUUGGGACGUAUUUUUAUCCUCCCAGAAAAUGUUUGUAUCUAUGUGGCUUGUAUUUUUUAAUUCAAAUAGAAUAAAUCAUUCAUAUGGUUUUGUGCCUUGUUUUUCCUUUUUUUUUUUGAGACAGAGCCCUGCUCUGUCGCCUAGGCUGGAGUGUAGUGGUAUGAUUUCUGCUCACUGCAAUCUCUACCUCCCGGGUUGAAGCGAUUCUCCUGCCUCAGCCUCCCAAGUAGCUGGGAUUACAGGUGUCCACCACCACGCCUGGCUAAUUUUUGUAUUUUUAAUAGAGACAGGGUUUCUCCAUGUUGGCCAGGCUGGUCUUGAACUCCUUACCUCAUGAUCUGCCCACCUCAGCCUCCCAAAGUGCUGGGAUUAUAGGCGUGAGCCACUGUUCCCGGCCUGUUUUUCUAACUAAUAAUAUAGUGAUCUAAACUAGAAUUCUUAAUCAAAUAUGCAGUUUCUAUAUAUAUUUGGUAGUAUUCCUGGACGCUCUACCUUGUGAAAUUGAUUUAGUGGUAGUUGUGCUAGAGCAGAUAUACACUGGUUGCUAUGUAGCAGAAACUGCUAGUUUUCCAUUCACAUACAAUUCUCUUAACUUCUUCUGAAGGCCAUGUCUUUUACUUUGGAGGUAAAUCUUUUUAUUUUAUUACUAUUUUUUUAGAGACAGGGUCUCCCUCUGUCACUCAGGCUGGCUGGAGUGCAGUGUUACAAUCAUAGCUCAUUGCAGCCUCAAACUCCUGUGCUCGGGCAAUCCUCUAGCCUCAGCCUCCUGACUGGCUAGGACCAAAGGCACGCACCAUCACACCUGGCUAAUUUUUAAAAUUUUUCUGUAGACAGGGAGUUUUACUAUGUUGACCAGGCUGGUGUCAAACUCCUGGCCUCAAGUGAUCCUUCAGCCUCGGCCCCCCAAAAUACUGGGAUUACAGAUGUAUGCCACUAUACCCAGUUGUGGGAGACAAAUUGUAAUGAUCUCAUUUGCUUUGCCAAAUUGUUAGUUUAACCACGGGCUUCUGUCAAUUUUGGAUAAUGUGUGAGGAGAAGUCACAGAAAGACUUCUGAGAUUUUUCUGACUUUCCAAUUGUCUGCACAUAAAGUCAGUAUCUGCAACUACCCUUAAUUAUAGCAACACCAGCGAUCAGAUUUGAUCUCUAAAUAUUCUUCCUUGCUAAAAGUAACCAAUGCUUCUUGGAGAAAUGGCCAAUUCUAGAAAAAUGUGUAAAAUGGGCUGACAACCAAUUGCACAAAAAUAAGAACAAAAACAAAAUUAGCAGGGUGUGGUGGAGGGCACCUGCAAUCCCAGCUACUUGGAAGGCUAAAGCAGGAGAAUCACUUGAACCCAGGAGACAGAGGUUGCAGUGAGCCGAGAUUAUACCACUGCACUCCAGCCUUCAAGACAGGAGCAAGACUCCAUCUAAAAAGAAAAAAAAAAAAAAAAAGGCCCAGGUACAGUGGCUCACACCUGUAAUCCUAGCACUUUGGGAGGCCAAGGCAGGUGGAUCACAAGGUCAGGAGUUCAAGACCAGCCUGGCCAAGAUGGUGAAACCCCAUCUCUACUAAAAAUACAAAAAUUAGCCAGGCGUGGUGGUGUAUGCCUGUAAUCCCAGCUACUCAGGAGGCUGAGGCAGGAGAAUCACUUGAACCUGGAAGGUGGAGGUUGCAGUGAGCAGAGAUCACGCCACUGCACUCCAGCCUGGGCAACAGAGCCAGACUCCGUCUCAAAACAAACAAGCAAACAAAAAAACUCCAUGAUCUCCAACAUAGCCGUUGAAGAAGGAAAGAAAAAAAAAAAAACUCCAAAAAUCAUUUUGAUUAGGGUAGUAUACUUGAGUCAGGAACAGUGGCUUAUGCCUGUAAUCUCAAAACUUUGAGAGGCCAAGGCAGGUGGAUUGCUUGAAACCAGCUGGGAUUACAGGUGCCUGCCACCAUGCCCAGCUAAUGUUUUUGUGUUUUUAGUAGAGAAGGGGUUUCACCAUAUAGGCCAGGCUGGUCUCAGACUCCUG